UAGAUUGGUGCUUGCAUCAUGAUUUACAUUUGAGUGAGUGGCGAACUGGUGAGUAACACGUGGGAAACCUGCCCAGAAGCGGGGGAUAACACCUGGAAACAGAUGCUAAUACCGCAUAACAACUUGGACCGCAUGGUCCGAGCUUGAAAGAUGGCUUCGGCUAUCACUUUUGGAUGGUCCCGCGGCGUAUUAGCUAGAUGGUGGGGUAACGGCUCACCAUGGCAAUGAUACGUAGCCGACCUGAGAGGGUAAUCGGCCACAUUGGGACUGAGACACGGCCCAAACUCCUACGGGAGGCAGCAGUAGGGAAUCUUCCACAAUGGACGAAAGUCUGAUGGAGCAACGCCGCGUGAGUGAAGAAGGGUUUCGGCUCGUAAAACUCUGUUGUUAAAGAAGAACAUAUCUGAGAGUAACUGUUCAGGUAUUGACGGUAUUUAACCAGAAAGCCACGGCUAACUACGUGCCAGCAGCCGCGGUAAUACGUAGGUGGCAAGCGUUGUCCGGAUUUAUUGGGCGUAAAGCGAGCGCAGGCGGUUUUUUAAGUCUGAUGUGAAAGCCUUCGGCUCAACCGAAGAAGUGCAUCGGAAACUGGGAAACUUGAGUGCAGAAGAGGACAGUGGAACUCCAUGUGUAGCGGUGAAAUGCGUAGAUAUAUGGAAGAACACCAGUGGCGAAGGCGGCUGUCUGGUCUGUAACUGACGCUGAGGCUCGAAAGUAUGGGUAGCAAACAGGAUUAGAUACCCUGGUAGUCCAUACCGUAAACGAUGAAUGCUAAGUGUUGGAGGGUUUCCGCCCUUCAGUGCUGCAGCUAACGCAUUAAGCAUUCCGCCUGGGGAGUACGGCCGCAAGGCUGAAACUCAAAGGAAUUGACGGGGGCCCGCACAAGCGGUGGAGCAUGUGGUUUAAUUCGAAGCUACGCGAAGAACCUUACCAGGUCUUGACAUACUAUGCAAAUCUAAGAGAUUAGACGUUCCCUUCGGGGACAUGGAU
rnacentral:rRNA from 1 species